rnacentral:rRNA from 1 species
GAUGAACGCUGGCGGCGUGCCUAAUACAUGCAAGUCGAGCGAACAGAUGAGGAGCUUGCUCCUCUGACGUUAGCGGCGGACGGGUGAGUAACACGUGGAUAACCUACCUAUAAGACUGGGAUAACUUCGGGAAACCGGAGCUAAUACCGGAUAAUAUAUUGAACCGCAUGGUUCAAUAGUGAAAGACGGUUUUGCUGUCACUUAUAGCUGGAUCCGCGCCGGAUUAGCUAGUUGGUAAGGUAACGGCUUACCAAGGCAACGAUGCGUAGCCGACCUGAGAGGGUGAUCGGCCACACUGGAACUGAGACACGGUCCAGGCUCCUACGGGAGGCAGCAGUAGGGAAUCUUCCGCAAUGGGCGAAAGCCUGACGGAGCAACGCCGCGUGAGUGAUGAAGGUCUUCUGAUCGUAAAACUCUGUUAUUAGGGAAGAACAAAUGUGUAAGUAACUAUGCACGUCUUGACGGUACCUAAUCAGAAAGCCACGGCUAACUACGUG